rnacentral:rRNA from 1 species
UACGGAGGGGGCGAGCGUUAUUCGGAAUUAUUGGGCGUAAAGGGCGCGUAGGCGGCCUUGUAAGUCAAAGGUGAAAUCCCUCGGCUCAACUGAGGAACUGCCUUUGAAACUGCGAGGCUUGAGGCCGGGAGGGGGUAGCGGAAUUCCCAAUGUAGCGGUGAAAUGCGUAGAUAUUGGGAGGAACACCAGUGGCGAAGGCGGCUACCUGGACCGGUUCUGACGCUGAGGCGCGAAAGCUAGGGGAGCAAACAGG